CUGCUGCCUCCCGUAGGAGUCUGGGCCGUAUCUCAGUCCCAAUGUGGCCGGCCAACCUCUCAGUCCGGCUACUGAUCGUCGCCUUGGUAGGCCGUUACCCCACCAACUAGCUAAUCAGACGCGAGGCCAUCUUUCGGCGAUAAAAUCUUUGGUAUCAAGACCAUGCGAUCCCGAUACGUCAUGCGGUAUUAGCAGUCGUUUCCAACUGUUGUCCCCCUCCGAAAGGCAGGUUCCUCACGCGUUACUCACCAGUCCG
rnacentral:rRNA from 1 species